GAUGAACGCUGGCGGAGGGAGGAAUAAAGGCAAGUCGAGCGAACGGACGAGAAGCUUGCUUUUCUGAUGUUAGCGGCGGACGGGUGAGUAACACGUGGAUAACCUACCUAUAAGACUGGGAUAACUUCGGGAAACCGGAGCUAAUACCGGAUAAUAUUUUGAACCGCAUGGUUCAAAAGUGAAAGACGGUCUUGCUGUCACUUAUAGAUGGAUCCGCGCUGCAUUAGCUAGUUGGUAAGGUAACGGCUUACCAAGGCAACGAUGCAUAGCCGACCUGAGAGGGUGCACGGCCACACUGGAACUGAGACACGGUCCAGACUCCUACGGGAGGCAGCAGUAGGGAAUCUUCCGCAAUGGGCGAAAGCCUGACGGAGCAACGCCGCGUGAGUGAUGAAGGUCUUCGGAUCGUAACCCUCUGUUCUUAGGGAAGAACAUAUGUGUAAGUAACUGUGCACAUCUUGACGGUACCUAAUCAGAAAGCCACGGCUAACUACGUG
rnacentral:rRNA from 1 species